UACGGGGGGAGCAAGCGUUGUUCGGAUUUACUGGGCGUAAAGGGCGCGUAGGCGGCCAGCACAAGUCAGUUGUGAAAUCUCCGAGCUUAACUCGGAAAGGUCAACUGAUACUGUGCGGCUAGAGUGCGGAAGGGGCAACUGGAAUUCUUGGUGUAGCGGUGAAAUGCGUAGAUAUCAAGAGGAACACCUGCGGCGAAGGCGGGUUGCUGGGCCGACACUGACGCUGAGGAGCGAAAGCCAGGGGAGCAAACGGG
rnacentral:rRNA from 1 species